rnacentral:miRNA from 1 species
CCUGUUUGAGUCCCUCGUUCUCAUGACGUGGUUCCUCAAGGACUCUCCCCUGUAGUCCCCGCUACUCGGGAGGCUGAGGCAGGAGGAU